AGAGAAUCCAGCAUGCAAUGCUUGGAUGGUCCUGGGAAGUCUCCAGAGCGUUCCUGGCCAGCCCAGUACACCCCUCCAUGAAUAGCUGAGGAACCUGGGAGCAGGGGGCAGCUACCAUGUACAGAAGAAGCUGACUGAGCGACCGGAAGCACACCGAGAGCUGUGACCUCACGUGGCCUCUCUCCUGAACCAAGCAAAUGCACCUCUAAAGCCUUGGUACCUUGAGGACACCACCCCUUCUCAAUGGAGGAGCCCACAGCCCCAGUCCAGUCGGCUCCUUGCACAGUCCUGAGGAUGCCCCCCAGCCCCAUUCCCAGGCUCUUACUUGGCUAUGCACCAAAACUAAGUUCUGCCCACGAACUGAGACAUUCUUGGAGGCCAAGAGCAGAGGCCACCCUCCUCAGCCCUCUGUUAAAUAAAGCGCAGAGCUCAUAAUGUUGGUGUUCAUCUGCAUAGAGUCACGAUGUUACCAUCUGCAAGGUUACGGUGAACACCAAGCGCAACUUUUUCAUGUUACGGACAAGAAACUGAAGUGGGAAAAAGGAAAGGUUUACCUAAGAUGACCUAGCUGGUCACUCAAAGGGCGCACCCAGAGGGCUGCAGGCACAUCAGCAUUGGGACAGCCUGGUACACAGCUCAGAAGGCUCUCUCCACCCAGCCUGGGAUUGUACAGCACUACCAUAGAUUGUCACGUGCUGGGCACUCUGCAUAUGUUAUCUCCAUCUUCAUAUAAAAGCUCAAGGCCCAAGUGGUUUAUUAUUUUUUUUUUAAAGAACUCACUGACCUACUUAAAGAAUCUGAUGAAAUCUAAAAUUUGUUCCUUCAUAAAAAUACGUAUGUACCAAAACUUACAUUCAA